UUGUAAUUCAGAAGAAAAGAUAUUAUAGUAUAUAUUUCUGGAAAGUUUCAGUUGAUUUAUGGUAUACUCCAUUAAACAAAACUUCUUUUCAUUUACUGAAUUAUUCUUUUAUUAUUUUUUUUUUGAAAUUAUGUAGAUUAUUUAGCUCAACAUGAUUUAUUGUAAUAUAUAAAAUUGAUAAUUGUUACUACUAAUUGAUUGUUUUUAUAUUUAACUGAUGACAAAAAAAUAUUAUUUAAUGCAUUUAUUGGUCAGCAAUAAGUAAUGUUCAAGAGUUUUAGUUUUUAUCCACCAUCUCACAAUCUGCACAGAAUCUCCUACCUCUAAGGUCAGCUUACAGUUUAUAUAAACAAACAACCUUCAAGUGGAACUUUAUCCAGUAUUUCAAAAUACUUUAUGUUAAACUGGGCUAUCUGGUAGAUGAAAAUAGAGAAGUUACCACAGAUUGACCUACAGCAGUUUAAAAUCCAGAGCAAAUAUCACACCCUGAAAAUUAUUUCCAGCAUGGUCAUUUUCUAAAGAAAGAUUGGAGGCUUUAGUUGUGAUUUUAAUUCAAAUAAAUCAACUUACAUUUAUAUAUUAAUACAUAAAUGAGUUUUGUUAAUUACCUAGAAAAUAAGAUUUUAAGAUUUCAACUACCCCAGCUAUACAGAACUUUCUUGGGAAAUUUAUUGUGAAACUUAUAUAUAAAAUGGAGCAUAAUAGAUGUGUUAAACUUCAUUAUUCAAUUUGAAAAAAUGGAGGGAAAUAAGCAGCCAAUUGUAACAGAUCAAUGGUUGAAGCCAAAUAUUUCAGUAACAAUUUGUGACAAGACGAUGAAGAAAAAGAAAAUGGUGUAGUUGGAACAAAAUAAUACAAUAGAGGAAAUAUUACUGAUUGUGUGGUACAGAUACUAUAGCGUGGAAUUAUGUAAUACAGUGUGCAGCUAUCUAGUUGAAAUAUCAAACAAGAAUGACUUUUGAAAUGUAUUUAAUUGUAUGAAAAUAAAAUACAGAUAAGUGAAAAAAAAAUCUCAAUUAUUAUUUUGUCAAUUAUC